rnacentral:rRNA from 1 species
CCUGGUUGAUCCUACGAGUAGUCAUAUGCUUGUCUCAAAUAUUAAGCCAUGCAUGUCUAAGUAUGAACUAAUUCAGACUGUGAAACUGUGGAUGUCGCAUUAAAUCAUUUAUAGUUCUUUUGAUGGUACCAUAAUACUCGGAUAAUCGUAGUAAUUCGAAAGCUAAUACAUGCACCAAGUCUUGACUCUUUGGAAGGGAUGCAUUUUUUAGAUAAAGGGCCAGUGCAGGUUCAGUGAAUCAUGAUGACUCGACCAAUCGUACAGCCCUUAUGCUGGUGAUGCUUCAUUCAAAUUUCUGCCCUAUAAACUUUAGAUGGUAGGAUAGAGGCCUACCAUGGUGGUGAUGGGUGAUAGAGAAUUAGGGUUUGAUUCCAUAGAGGGAGCUUGACAAACAGCUACCACAUCCAGGGAAGGCAGCAAGCACACAAAUUACCCAAUCUUGACAUGGGGAGGUAGUGACAAUAAAUAACAAUACUGGGCUCAUCAAGUCUCGUAAUUGGAAUGAGUAUAAUCUAAAUCCCUUAACGAGGAUCCAUUGGAGGGAAAAUCGUGUGCCAAUAGCCAUGAUAAUUCUAGCUCCAAUUGCGUAUAUUUAAGUUGUAGUUAAAAAGAUCGUAGUUGUAUCUUGGGUCAUAAAGGUUGAUCCACCUACUCGAUGUGCACCUGACUUUCCAUCCCUUUUAUCAGUGGCAUGAUCCUGGCCUUAAUUGGCUCAGUCGUAGCUCCAACUCUAUUACUUUCAAAAAAUUAGAGUGCUCAAAGCAAGCUUAUGCUCUGAAUACAUUAGCAUGGAAUAAUGUGAUAGGAGUCUGGUCCUAUUGUGUUGGCCUUCAGGACCAGAGUAACGAUUAAUAAGGACUCUCAAGAGCAUUCGUAUUUCAAUGUCAGAGGUGAAAUUAUUGGAUUUAUUAAAGAUGGACCACUGAAAAAAUAUUUUCCAAGGAUGUUUUCAUUAAUCAAGAAUGAAAUUUGGGGGCUUGAAGAUGAUCAAAUACUGUCCUAGUCUCAACCAUAAAUGAUGCCGACCAGGGAUCGACAGAUGUUGCUCUAAGGACUCUGCCAACACCUUCUAAGAUAUCUUAGUGUUUGGGUUUUGGGGGGAGUAUGGUUGCAAGGUUGAAACUUAAAGGAAUUGAGGAAAGGGCACCACCAGGAGUGGAGCCUGUAGCUUAAUUUGACUCAACAUGGGGAAACUUCCUAGGUUCAUACAUAGUAAGGAUUGAUAGAUUAAGAGCUCUUUCUUGAUUCUAUGGGUGGUGUUGCAUGGCCAUUCUUAGUUGAUGGAGUGAUUUGUCUAGUUAAUUCUGAUAAUGAAUGAUACCUCAUCCUACUAACUAGAUAUGUGGAGGUUCCCCUUCACGACCAACACCUUCGAGGGACUAUGGCCAUUUAGGCCAUUGAAUUUUGAGGCAAUAACAGGUCUGUGAUUCCCUUAGAUGUUCUAGGCUGCACACAUGCUACACUAAUGCAAUCAACAAUUUUUUCUUCCUAGUUAGAGAGGAUCAAGAAAUCUUCUCAAAUUGCAUCGUGAUGGGGAUAGACCAUUGAAAUUAUUGUUCUUCGAUGAGUAAUUCAUAGUAAGAACAUGUCAUCAACUUGUGUUAACUACAUCCCUGCCCUUUUUACACACCACCCAUCGCUCCUACUGAUUGAAUGAUCUGGUGAAGUGUUUAGAUUGUGUCGAUGAUGGUGGCUCGUCAUCAUCGAAGUCGUGAGAAGUUAAUUGAAACUUAUCAUUUAUAGGAAGGAGAAGUUGUAACAAGGUUACCAUAGGUGAACCUGCUGUAG